rnacentral:sRNA from 1 species
GCGGCCGCAGCGCUGGUGGCCAUGCUCUUGGAGCACUACGGCCUGGCGGGCCAGCCCUCGCCGCUGCCGCGCCCCGCGCCCCCCAGGAGGCCGCACCCCGCGCCAGGGCCCGGAGACAGCAACAUCUUCUGGGGCCUGCAGAUAUCCGACAUUCACCUGAGCAGGUUUCGAGAUCCAGGCAGAGCGGUAGACUUAGAGAAAUUCUGUUCUGAAACUAUUGACAUCAUUCAACCAGCUCUCGUCCUAGCAACAGGAGACCUGACAGAUGCCAAAACAAAGGAACAGUUGGGAUCCAGGCAGCAUGAGGUAGAAUGGCAAACCUACCAGGGUAUUCUGAAGAAGACAAGAGUCAUGGAAAAAACCAAGUGGCUGGAUAUCAAAGGAAAUCAUGGUAAGAGCCAAGAGCCAGAUACAAUAAAGACAAGAGUUUUUUUCCCCCUUCAGGAACCUAGAUUUUCCAACUUAGAUUGUAAAAUUAUAAAGUGGGACAUUUACAUAUACUAAAGGUCACAUCUCUGAAAUAC